ensembl:lncRNA
CAGAAACACCAGAAGUAGGUUAUCAAGUAAUGUUUAUUUCAAUAGCACUUUAUACAAUACAGAUGAUUUCAAAACAGCUUCACAGUAUUAAACAGGAGAAUAUCAGAAACAAAUAUUCAAACUAGAAUCCUGGAAUCAGCUGAAUGCUGGAUUUGUGCUGACGUGUCUCACCUGUACCUGUAUGUUCCUCCUCCGUCUGUCCGCAGAUCCUCCGGGAGUGAAGCCUGAUGGUUAUUUAAGUGGCUGUUCAGCUCUUUAAUUGCAUGAGUGGCCGCUGUCGGAGCCUUUGCCCUGUUACCAUCACACACACUCUCACAGGGUCACCUUCUACCAUCAGUGUGUGUCGCCGCACAACACACAACGUCCCUGUGCUGAAAAUAUCAUCUAUUACAAAAGACAAGUCCAAUAUAAAGCAAAUAAAAUGAUCCGUUGCUCCUAAAAAUCCAAC